rnacentral:piRNA from 1 species
UGACAUGCCUGUUUGUACAUCCGUUCAUCUC